GACGAACGCUGGCGGCGUGCUUAACACAUGCAAGUCGAACGGAAAGGCCCUGCUUUUGUGGGGUGCUCGAGUGGCGAACGGGUGAGUAACACGUGAGUAACCUUCCCUUGACUUUGGGAUAACUUCAGGAAACUGGUGCUAAUACCGGAUAGGAGCUCCUGCUGCAUGGUGGGGGUUGGAAAGUUUCGGCGGUUGGGGAUGGACUCGCGGCUUAUCAGCUUGUUGGUGGGGUAGUGGCUUACCAAGGCUUUGACGGGUAGCCGGCCUGAGAGGGUGACCGGCCACAUUGGGACUGAGAUACGGCCCAGACUCCUACGGGAGGCAGCAGUGGGGAAUAUUGCACAAUGGGCGGAAGCCUGAUGCAGCAACGCCGCGUGCGGGAUGACGGCCUUCGUGUUGUAAACCGCUUUCGCCUGUGACGAAGCGUGAGUGACGGUAAUGGGUAAAGAAGCACCGGCUAACUACGUG
rnacentral:rRNA from 1 species